rnacentral:rRNA from 1 species
UACGUAGGGUGCAAGCGUUAAUCGGAAUUACUGGGCGUAAAGCGUGCGCAGGCGGUUCUAUAAGACAGAUGUGAAAUCCCCGGGCUUAACCUGGGAACUGCGUUUGAAACUGAAAGGCUAGAGUGUGGCAGAGGGGGAUGGAAUUCCGCGUGUAGCAGUGAAAUGCGUAGAUAUGCGGAGGAACACCGAUGGCGAAGGCAAUCCCCUGGGCCUGUACUGACGCUCCAUGCACGAAAGCGUGGGGAG